UCUGGACGCUGCUUUUGAACGGUUUUCAGGAAGUUUGAUUUCUGAAUGGGUACUGCACUUCACGGAUUUGUUUGAAUUGCCCAUGCAGCUCUAUGCUUGUUAAAGUGCAUUCUUCUUUUAAAAAAUAAGCAAGAGGAAUAAUCUUUACUCUUUAACCAAGAUUCUCUACUGGCAGGACAUCAGUCCCUGCUUUGGAGUGAAGAACCUAGUUGAAGGAAGCCACUGGUACAUACAACUGGCAGUGAAGAUUCCAAGAGAACAAAAGGCUAAUAUUUAUGAACAACUCUCUGCACUUUGCCGAUUUCUAUUGUCCCUAGUGACCGGAAUGAAGAUCAGUGAAAUGCUACAAUCAAUCCACAUCCUUCUGCAACCUUCCUGCAGUGGGAAGAGAGGCCCCGAACCACCCCCUGCAGGAGAAACAAACCUUAAGAGAUUGGUUAAGACUUAAAAACCCACCACUAUGACAUUUACCACUUAAUCUUACAUAGGCAGGUCAAAAUUUUAAUAUAAAUUACUUUUGCCAACACAUAGCUUAUGCAUUCUUUGCUCCUUUUUUUGGAGGAUUCUCAAAUUGAUAUCUAAAGACUUACAUAUGAUAUCUUACUGUUAUAUGGUCUAAUGACUAAGAAAAUUUCUCUGGUAACCAAAGCUGACUCCAUAUAUGGUAGUGUUCUUGGCAUAUACUCUAUAUGCCUCAGACCACUUCCACAUUCUUUCUAUUCAGCUAAUUAUAGCUUAGUAGCCACUGGUGAAGGAUUGUGAAGACCCUGUCAUUUCUACAGAAUAGAAAGGCAAGGCUAGUUACUGCAAUUCAGCCAAACAAAAAGAAAAAAUAAACCAACCCCUUGAAAAGGAGAGGUACUGCA
rnacentral:lncRNA from 1 species